rnacentral:rRNA from 1 species
GUACGGGAGGCAGCAGUGGGGAAUCUUGCACAAUGGAGGAAACUCUGAUGCAGCGACGCCGCGUGAGCGAUGAAGCCCUUCGGGGUGUAAAGCUCUUUCGACGGGAACGAUAAUGACGGUACCCGAAGAAGAAGCUGCGGCUAACUACGUGCCAGCAGCCGCGGUAAUACGUAGGCAGCAAGCGUUGUUCGGAAUUACUGGGCGUAAAGAGUGUGUAGGCGGUGUUCUAAGUCUGUUGUGAAAUCUCCCGGCUUAACUGGGAGGGUGCGGCGGAAACUGGAAUGCUAGAGGAUGGGAGAGGUAAGCGGAAUUCCUGGUGUAGCGGUGAAAUGCGUAGAUAUCAGGAGGAACACCUGUGGUGUAGACAGCUUACUGGACCAUUUCUGACGCUGAGACACGAAAGCGUGGGUAGCAAACAGGAUUAGAUACCCUGGU